rnacentral:misc_RNA from 1 species
GAUGAAGAACGUAGCGAAAUGCGAUAAGUAAUGUGAAUUGCAGAAUUCCGUGAAUCAUCGAAUUUUUGAACGCACAUUGCGCCCGCUGGUAUUCCGGCGGGCAUGCCUGUUCGAGCGUCAUUUCAACCCUCAAGCCCCCGGGUUUGGUGUUGGGGAUCGGCUCUGCCCUUCUGGGCGGUGCCGCCCCCGAAAUACAUUGGCGGUCUCGCUGCAGCCUCCAUUGCGUAGUAGCUAACCACUCGCAACUGGAACGCGGCGCGGCCAUGCCGUAAAACCCCAACUUCUGAAUGUUGACCUCGGAUCAGGUAGGAAUACCCGCUGAACUUAAGCAUAUCAAUAAGCGGAGGA